rnacentral:rRNA from 1 species
UACAGAGGGUGCAAGCGUUGUUCGGAAUUAUUGGGCGUAAAGGGUGCGUAGGCGGCGCGGUAAGUCGGGUGUGAAAUCUCGGAGCUUAACUCCGAAACUGCAUUCGAUACUGCCGUGCUUGAGGACUGGAGAGGAGACUGGAAUUUACGGUGUAGCGGUGAAAUGCGUAGAUAUCGUAAGGAAGACCAGUGGCGAAGGCGGGUCUCUGGACAGUUCCUGACGCUGAGGCACGAAGGCCAGGGGAGCAAACGGG